UGGGGAAUAUUGGACAAUGGGCCCAAGCCUGAUCCAGCCAUGCCGCGUGAGUGAUGAAGGCCCUAGGGUUGUAAAGCUCUUUCACCGGUGAAGAUAAUGACGGUAACCGGAGAAGAAGCCACGGCUAACUUCGUGCCAGCAGCCGCGGUAAUACGAAGGGGGCUAGCGUUGUUCGGAUUUACUGGGCGUAAAGCGCACGUAGGCGGAUUUUUAAGUCAGGGGUGAAAUCCCGGGGCUCAACCCCGGAACUGCCUUUGAUACUGGAAGGCUUGGGUAUGGUAGGGGUGAGUGGAAUUCCGAGUGUAGGGGUGAAAUUCGUAGUUAUUCGGAGGAACCCCAGUGGCGAAGGCGGCUCCCUGGACCUUUACUGACGCUUGGGUGCGAAAGCGUUGGGGGCAAACCGG
rnacentral:rRNA from 1 species